UAAACAGUGUUCUUUCUGAAAAGAGUUUUGAUCACAUGAGGGUGACAAGUUGGAUUAAUAUGUUGGAUGUUUUGUUUGACUGGUUUCGAUCGCACGAGGGCGAAAAAGGAUAAACUUGAUAGGUUAAGAUAUUUUUGGUUGGAUGAAGAUCACUCGGAUAGUCGAGUAAGACAACUCGUAUCCUAACAGUCGGGAAAGGGAGUAGAAGACUCUAUACCACUUUCUU
rnacentral:lncRNA from 1 species